rnacentral:lncRNA from 11 species
GUUUGCCGUGGCCUUUCUUUGAGGCUGAGAAAGUGGGAUUUACCCACGGUUGUCUGUUGCCUGGUGUGUCCACCUCUCUAGAGAUUCUAAGCAGACUCACUUCCUUUUCAUAAUUUAUUAAUUUCAACUCUCCAGUUGUGGAUCAGGGGUCUACUCAUCUUUUAUGAAGAAACAAGAAAAUAAAGAAGAA